rnacentral:lncRNA from 10 species
AGCCCAGGAGUUUGAGACCAGCCUGGGCAGCAUAGCGAGACCCUAUCUCUACAAAAAAUAAAUAAAUAAGAUGAAAAAGAAGUUAUUUAUUCUUCGAUCAUGAUGGCAGGCAAUCAAAGAAUCUUGGAGGCAUACUAGUUAGAGCUUUUAACCCCACAGGUCUUCAUUGUCCACAUCGGUGAUGACCAUUUUUUUAGUAGACAAGGCAAGAACUUAAUGAAGAGAAUUACUUUACGUUUCUUGAAUUUACUACUGAAGAGUUAUAGGUAGCUAAUAGCUAAUAUUUUCGUAGCUAGUGUUGGGACACGGAAACCAACCCCCCAAAAUAUGGUGCUUUGAUGGGCUGAACUGUAUAGUAUAUCUGAUAUAUUUAUAUAGUGUAUAAAAAAUCACCUGACACAAUAGAUGGAUAAUAUAUCUGAUAUAUUUAUAUAUCGUAUAAGAAAUCACCUGACACAAUAGAUAUGUAAUAUAUCUGAUAUAUUUAUAUAUUGUAUAAAAAAUCACCUGACACAAUAGAUGGAUAAUAUAUCUGAUAUAUUUAUAUAUUGUAUAAAAAAUCACCUGACACAAUAGAUGGAUAAUAUAUCUGAUAUAUUUAUAUAUUGUAUAAAAAAUCACCUGACACAAUAGAUGGAUAAUGUAUCUGAUAUAUUUAUAUAUUUAAACAGUUAAACACCUAAACAGCCCAAUUUUAUGUGGAUCAGUACUACUAACGGCUUAGGGUAAAAUGACAGCUACAGCAUAACUAGAAUGUUAAAGUGGCAUGUCUCAGACAACGUGGAUGGACAUAAAGUAUUUGAGAGAAUAUUGCAUAAUAGAAAAAAACAUUGUAAAGACUAAAAUACUAAAUAAGACCUUUUUUUCCCGAGCAAUAAUUUGCCCAGGCUGGUCUCAAACUCUUGGCCUCAAAUGAUCCUCCUGCCUUGGCCUCCUAAAGCAUUGGGAUUAUAGGCAUGAACCACUGCUCCUGGCCAGAAUUCUUGAUUAAACAAUAGGGUCUAAAUAAAUUUAAACCCCUUUUAUUCUUUUUAUUCUUACAGGGUAGACUCAAAUAUUCUAUUUCUUUCCAACUUUAUAUUCUUGUCAUAACAACCCAGUAUUCUCUGAGGCAAAUGGAUGCUUAUGACCAACUGGCCUGAAAUGGGGGAAUAUAGGGUUAGUGGUGAGUCACAUAUAAGAAAAUGCAAGAGAAUAGCAGUGUAUCAUAUUUCAAAAUAAAAUACAAACUAUACAUAAAAC